rnacentral:rRNA from 1 species
UGUAUGGUUAAGUGACUAAGCGUACACGGUGGAUGCCUGGGCAGUCAGAGGCGAUGAAGGACGUACUAACUUGCGAUAAGCGCAGAUAAGGCAGUAAGAGCCGUUUGAGUCUGCGAUUUCCGAAUGGGGAAACCCAACUGCAUAAGCAGUUACUGUUAACUGAAUACAUAGGUUAACAGAGCAAACCGGGGGAACUGAAACAUCUAAGUACCCCGAGGAGAAGAAAUCAACCGAGAUUCCGGUAGUAGCGGCGAGCGAACCUGGAUUAGCCCUUAAGCACUCGGUGAAGUAGGUGAACAAGCUGGAAAGCUUGGCGAUACAGGGUGAUAGCCCCGUAACCGACGCUUCAUCGAGCGUGA